rnacentral:rRNA from 1 species
UACGGAAGGCAGCAGUGGGGAAUAUUGCACAAUGGGCGCAAGCCUGAUGCAGCCAUGCCGCGUGUAUGAAGAAGGCCUUCGGGUUGUAAAGUACUUUCAGUCGUGAGGAAGGUGUUAAGGUUAAUAACCUUAGCAAUUGACGUUAGCGACAGAAGAAGCACCGGCUAACUCCGUGCCAGCAGCCGCGGUAAUACGGAGGGUGCGAGCGUUAAUCGGAAUUACUGGGCGUAAAGGGCACGCAGGCGGUUAAUUAAGUUGGAUGUGAAAUCCCCGGGCUUAACCUGGGAAUGGCAUUCAAGACUGGUUAGCUAGAGUCUUGUAGAGGGGGUAGAAUUCCGAUGUGUAGCGGUGAAAUGCGUAGAGAUGUGGAGGAAUACCGGUGGCGAAGGCGGCCCCUGGGACAAAGGACUGACGCUCAUGUGCGAAAGCGUGGGGAGCGAAACAGGGAUUAGAUA